GUGUCAGCAGCCGCGGUAAUACGAAGGGGGCUAGCGUUGCUCGGAAUCACUGGGCGUAAAGCGCACGUAGGCGGGUCUUUAAGUCGGGGGUGAAAUCCUGGAGCUCAACUCCAGAACUGCCUUCGAUACUGAGGAUCUCGAGUCCGGGAGAGGUGAGUGGAACUCCGAGUGUAGAGGUGAAAUUCGUAGAUAUUCGGAAGAACACCAGUGGCGAAGGCGGCUCACUGGCCCGGUACUGACGCUGAGGUGCGAAAGCGUGGGGAGCAAACAGGAUUAGAUACCCCCGUAGUCC
rnacentral:rRNA from 1 species